ACUGGUAAGGGCGAAGGCAACCUUCAAUGUAAAAACUGACGUUAAGGGACGAAGGCUCAUGUGAAAGAAUAGGAUUAGAUACCCUAGUAUUGUGAGCAGAAAAUGAUGAGUGUCAUAUACAAUAAAAAUUAUUGUGUAUAAAUGAAAGUGUAAGCAUUCCACCUCAAGAGUAACGUGGCAACAUGGGAACUGAAAUCAUUAGACCGUUUCUGAAACUCGUAGUGAAGUAUGUUGUUUAAUUUGAUAAUACACAAAUAACCUUACCACAAUUUGUAUAACUAUAGUUAUAUAUAGUUACAAGCGUUGCACGGCUGUCAGAAGUCAAUGUUGUGAAACUAUGGUUAGAUCCAUCUAAUUGACGUAAACCCUUACUUUAUUUAUUAUAAAGUAGUUCGCCGCUAUAUUGGUAGUAAUAUAUGGGACUAGGACAAGUCAUCAU
rnacentral:rRNA from 1 species